AUUUCUUAUUUAUAUAGUUUAAUUAAAAACAUUACUUUUUCAUUGUAAAAUUAAAUAAUUUAUUUUAUAA
rnacentral:tRNA from 1 species